rnacentral:rRNA from 1 species
CCUACGGGUGGCAGCAGUGAGGAAUAUUGGUCAAUGGCCGAGAGGCUGAACCAGCCAAGUCGCGUGAGGGAAGACGGCCCUACGGGUUGUAAACCUCUUUUGUCGGGGAGCAAAGCGAGUCACGUGUGACUCAUUGAGAGUACCCGAAGAACAAGCCCCGGCUAACUACGUGCCAGCAGCCGCGGUAAUACGUAGGGGGCAAGCGUUAUCCGGAUUUACUGGGUGUAAAGGGGGCGCAGACGGCGAUGCAAGCCAGGAGUGAAAGCCCGGGGCCCAACCCCGGGACUGCUCUUGGAACUGCGUGGCUGGAGUGCAGGAGGGGCAGGCGGAAGUCCUGGUGUAGCGGUGAAAUGCGUAGAUAUCAGGAGGAACACCGGUGGCGAAGGCGGCCUGCUGGACUGCAACUGACGUUGAGGCCCGAAAGCGUGGGGAGCAAACAGGAUUAGAUACCCGGGUAGUC